rnacentral:ncRNA from 1 species
GAGAAAGCUUUGAAAAGAAGAGUACAUGUCACGGACGUUUGAAGAGAGCCCUGUUUGCUGAAAAUGGGUAACGAAAAUGAGAUGGAAGAUGGUCUUAGAGCAGAGUAAGCGAGCGUAAGCAAACUUACUACGGGAGUGCCCGUUACAGCGCGACAGUAUACGGAAAGAAGCUAAGUCCAAGUACUGGAAGAGGCUGUUAUUGCGAAGUAACGGUAAAUCAAGGUGGUAACACGGAAGUUCAAGCUUUCGUCCUUUUG